AGGUAAAAGGUUAUUUGCUAAUGACCUAUAAUGAUUGUUGAUAACUUAUUAUGCGGGAUUUAAUUAGGCACCUGCAUAGAAAGUUGAUUGAUGGAAAGCAGGUUGAACAAUAUGUUUUUGUCAAUCCAGCAUUGGUUUCAAAAGCUGGAAUGGGAGAGGGAAGUAAAGAAAACAGGUCAAAGGUCAUUGUGGAUCGACUAAGGAAUGCAAAACAUGUUGAAUAUGUGUUUAUUCCAUACAAUCCAGAUUUCCACUAGGUCUUAGUGGCACUAGAGAUGAAGAGAAUGAUUGCAUAUUACCUUAAUCCAAUGGCUUGUCAACCAUGUGAUGAUCUUAGGGAGAUAGUUAACAUGUAAGUGUGUACUUCUCAUAUUUUAGUACAAUGCAUAUUAUCUAUAGAA